ensembl:lncRNA
GUGAGAGGAGGCAGGUAGCCUGGUGGUUAGAGUGUAGAGGAGGCAGGUAGCCUAGUGGUUAGAGUGGAGGGGUGGCAGGUAGCCUAGUGGUUAGAGUGGAGGGGCGGCAGGUAGCCUAGUGGUUAGAGUGGAGGGGAGGCAGGUAGCCUAGUGGUUAGAGUGUAGGGGAGGCAGGUAGCCUAGUGGUUAGAGUGUAGGGGUGGCAGGUAGCCUAGUGGUUAGAGUGGAGGGGUGGCAGGUAGCCUAGUGGUUAGAGUGGGAGGGGAGGCAGGUAGCCUAGUGGUUAGAGUGGAGGGGAGGCAGGUAGCCUAGUGGUUAGAGUGGAGGGAGGCAGCCUGGUGGUUAGAGUGUAGAGGAGGCAGGUAGCCUAGUGGUUAGAGUGUAGAGGAGGCAGGUAGCCUAGUGGUUAGAGUGUAGUGGAGGGAGAGGCGGCAGGUAGCCUAGUGGUUAGAGUGGAGGGGUGGCAGGUAGCCUAGUGGUUAGAGUGGAGGGGAGGCAGGUAGCCUAGUGGUUAGAGUGGAGGGGAGGCAGGUAGCCUAGUGGUUAGAGUGGAGGCAGGUAGCCUAGUGGUUAGAGUGUAGAGGAGGCAGGUAGCCUAGUGGUUAGAGUGGAGGGGAGGCAGGUAGCCUAGUGGUUAGAGUGGAGGAGG